GUUGUACUCCCUUCAUCCUAAAUUACUUGUCUUAAAUUUUUCUAUAUAGUAUGUACCUUAGACAUGUUUUAGUGUUAGAUACGUCCUUAUCUAAACAAAUCUAAGACAAGUAAUUUGGGACGGAGGUUGUAUUAG
rnacentral:pre_miRNA from 1 species